rnacentral:lncRNA from 1 species
GAAAUAAUUCCAAUACUUUUAAUGAAAAGUAAAAAAACACAGGUUUAAAUUCAUCAAACUCUAAAAAAACUGGAUAGAAAGUCAAAACCAAUAUAGAAAUUCCCAUCAUCGGGGUGUCACUGAGUACAUGAGUAUUUAUACAUUACAAGUCUGGAAAAUACUGUCUAUGAUAGUCCGAAACUAAAUACAAUAAGCGAAAUGAUAGGGAAGGAGAAACAAGGUCUGCGCGCCGGGUAGGCUACCUUAGAAUCUCCAACGAUCAAGAUGCAUAAGGAAAUCAAUACCCACGGUGUCCGGAAACACCUAGAUCUGCACACAAAGAGCAGGAUAUAGCAUGAGUACAACCAACUCAGUAAGUAACAAGACUAAAUAAAGGACUGAAAGUAGUGACGAGCUUCACAAUUAUAGUCCAAUUAUGGUAAUUUCAACGUAGGAAGGUAGGCAUGCUUUCAUGUUCGACAAAUUAGGCCAAAAUAGAUAAUUCAUGCCUAGUUCAAGUGAAACAGAAUAUAAUAUCUCUCGAAAAUUAUAAGACGGUGAUAUAUUACAAAUGAAGUGCAACAGAAAUGAAUUCAAAUGUAUCCUCUCAGAGUAACAGUCACUCAGUCCUCCUAUUUACUUCAACCUCACAAUCACUCAUUUCUCACAGUCACUCAUUCCUCUCAGUCGCUUAGCACUCGGCACUCGCACUCAGUAGGCACCUGCGAUCACUGGGGCUGUGUACAGACUCCGGAGGGGCUCCUUCAACAAGCCAAUCAUGGCAUCAAUAAAUGAAACAUGUUGCAGCGUACAACCCGAUCCCAUAAAUUAUCUCACAAUCAGGCCCUCGGCCUCACUCAGUCAUCAACCUCUCCAAUAUCUUGGGCUCUCAAAAAUCAUGAAAAGCAGCCCAAAUAGCAAUGAUAUAAUGUAUCUGUCACACCUCCUUUUUCUACCCAAAAGGAGGUAUAAGGGAGUUUUUCCAAUUAAAGUGACAAUAAUCGAAACAUGAUUAUUUAUUCAAAUUCAGAUUCGCCAUUUGGGAUAAUUUAUGGUGUCCCAAGUCAAUGGUUUAAAAUCCCGAAUCGAGGAAGUUGACUCCUAUUUAUGGUCUGCGAACACAGAAAUUCAGGUAAGAAAUUCUGCUAACCCGGGAGAAGGUGUUAGGCACUCCCGAGUUAUGUGGUAUUAGCACUGUCGCUUUAAUCAUACCCGGCUUAGUUAAAUUGAUUAAUUACUUAUUUUAGAACCUAGAUGCAUUUUUACCUUUUAUCGCUUUUAAUUCCUUGAUAAUUCGUAAUUGAGUUAUCUCAAAACGAGUCACGCAUACGUGUACUUAUUUCGUUUGGUGUGUCAAAAAUCAUGUCACGCGUACGUGUCCAAAAUUCCUAAUGCUUAGUUAUAUAAGAAAAAGCUUGGCCAAAGUUGCGCGAACACAUACCUCGGUUUAUUUUGUAUCGUAAUCAUGUCACGCGUACGUGUACAUAAUCGCGAUAAUUGAUUUAUUGAUACCUGCCUAAAGUAUACUAGCAAUGCAUAAUUAUUGAAUAUAUAGGCCAAAGACAGUUUUUAAUUCAUGUUAGUCUCAUUAACCCAAAUUUUAUUCAAACUAAAUUCGUUACUUUACUAGGUCAACACAGCGGGACAAAGCCAAACCUCUAUUCGCUCCUAUUAGUACCAACUCCACAGAUCCGAUUUACCCAAUUCAACAAUUUAUAUUAAACAUUCAUUAUCUUACCUAAAUGAUGAACAAUAGACAACAGUUAAAUAUUUAAACUAAACUACAACAAAGCAAUUAUAACAAAGCAGAAUUACAGUAAAGAAAUACAAGUAAAAGUCAUAUUAAUCACCAAAGAAAAUUAAAACGGAAGCUAAGGCAUGACAAAAUGACAAAGCAUCAAAUGUCCAAUGAACCCAUCAUAUUAUAAGAUUAAAAAAAUUAGUGAGAACAAUGAAGGGAUAGAAAUAGACCUUAAAACAAAGUAAUUUUGAAUCUUAAAAUGUUUGAACUCCGAACAGUAGUGGGUAGGUAUUGUCAUUCACACCCCAUUGCAGCAGCAACAGUAGUCAUCGCCGGUGGUCAAUUCCGACAAUUAUAGUGGUAGGAUGGGGUCGCUCUUUUGUUAGAAAAGAUGAGGAGGAAAAGAAUGAAGAGAGGAGGAGCGGUGGGGUGGUCGCGUUAGGGUAUCUGAAGGUUAGAGAUGAUGAAGUUCAGUAGGUUUUUUUGGUUUGGAUAGUGAAAAAUGGCUCAUAUUUUUUGUUUUUCUCUUAGGUCUUUUUGCCGCUGGUUGGGGUCUUGUUUUCUAGGUCUAGGGUUAAGAAGAAAGGUUUUUUAGGUUCAGGGAGUAUGCCAUGGUCUUAUUGGGC